rnacentral:rRNA from 1 species
GACGAACGCUGGCGGCGUGCUUAACACAUGCAAGUCGAACGGAAAGGCCCUGCUUUUGUGGGGUGCUCGAGUGGCGAACGGGUGAGUAACACGUGAGUAACCUGCCCUUGACUUUGGGAUAACUUCAGGAAACUGGGGCUAAUACCGGAUAGGAGCUCCUGCUGCAUGGUGGGGGUUGGAAAGUUUCGGCGGUUGGGAUGGACUCGCGGCUUAUCAGCUUGUUGGUGGGGUAGUGGCUUACCAAGGCUUUGACGGGUAGCCGGCCUGAGAGGGUGACCGGCCACAUUGGGACUGAGAUACGGCCCAGACUCCUACGGGAGGCAGCAGUGGGGAAUAUUGCACAAUGGGCGGAAGCCUGAUGCAGCAACGCCGCGUGCGGGAUGACGGCCUUCGGGUUGUAAACCGCUUUCGCCUGUGACGAAGCGUGAGUGGCGGUAAUGGGUAAAGAAGCACCGGCUAACUACGUG